UUGUCCUGGUAAAGAGAUGUCACGUUAGUUAUCACUCCUGUACCAUUCCCAGGAAUCCAGGGCACUUCCAUUACCAUUACUGUCCAAGUUCAGACCAGGUAAUGGUACCAGAUAAUGACCAGGUAAUGGUACUAGAUAAUGACCAGGUAAUGGUACCAGAUAAUGGUAACGAUUAAGUCACCAAGCCAGCCUUGGUCCAGGCACUGGAACCUUAUAUCACAUUUAGCAUUUGUUUCGUUUGGAGAUUUAGCAUAACAUGAAAUCAUACAAGGAAGUCAAUGUGCGAAGUACAAUGAAACAGCUCCAGAAGUGACAUAAACACAAGUCAUUCUAGACCAGAUUAAACUUACUAUCAGCAGCUGCGCAUGUGACGUCGGCAAUUGUCUGCAUGCCAGGAACAAGAAGUGUAGUAACGCAAGCCCCUGAUCCAGGCGAGAUCAGCCUGACUGUGGCAUCACUGCAUAUACACACCAUGCGACCGGGCACCUGAAGGACCAGAGAAGAGUUCUGUUAUCUCACAUGACAUAACAACUUGCAUACAGGGAAAAGAGGAGGUAUAUCGUAUAUU